AUGUUAAGCCAUUCCUGAUUUAGUUACCAACACAGUACUUACAGACUGCCUGUGAAAUCUCUUUAUGAGUAAAUACUCUCGUUCAUGUAUAUCUGGGAAGAAUAAAUGAAUAAGAAUAAGAAUAUGAAUAAAAGAAUAAGUGGCUUAAUUGAAAUUUCACUUUUAAAUAUUUAUUGAAUGAGUGAAUGAAUAACUAAAUAAGGAGUUGCAUGUCUAAUAUGUACCAGGCAAUGUUCUAAGACCAGGAGUUGUAAAGAUAUAUGGUAUAAUUAUCACCCCUAAGGAGCUUGUAACCUGCAGGGACAGAAUUUAAUAAGAAAAACCAACUGGUAUAGAUGAUAGAAAAAAAUAAGAAUAGCUAACUUGGUAAUACAGGGCAGUUGGGGCACAAAGGAAUAGAACACAGUCCUAUUGUGGGUGAGUGGGAACAUAUAAAGCUCAGAUUUUUAUAAAUAAGUAGGUAUUUGCCAAGUAGACAAGAAAAGUCAAGCCAGUCUGGGCAGAGGUGGCAGUGUGGGCAAUUGCAUGGAAAUAUAAAAGGCCCUGGCACUCUUACUAGGGACAUAUAGCUGUAAUGGCCACAACAUAGAGAUGAGGCUGGAACGGUCAUGUAGGACCUUUCAGGAAUCUGGACAUAGCCUAAUUUUCUUCUCUAUUAGAGUAGAACAUCUUGAAGGAUUUUUUUUUUUUUUUUUUUUGAGACACGGUUUUGCUCUCACUCUGUCGCCCAGGCUGGAGUGCAGUGGCGCAAUCCUCAAACUCCCCGGGCUCUGGUGAUCCUCCCACCUCAGCCUCUGGAGCAGCUGGCACUACAAGCACAUGCCACCACACCCACCUCAUUUUUGUUGUUUUGUUAUUUUUUUGUAGAGACAGGAUUUUACCACGUUGCCCAGGUGCUGGUCUUGAACUUGGGCUCGAUCUGCCCACCUUGGCCUCCCAAAGUGCUGGGAUUACAGGCAUGGAGCCACCAUGCCCAGCCUAAGGGUUCUUUUAUAUUAGUGCAAAUGGUAAUGAUGCCUUGGAAACUGAUGAAACAUUUGAGAGAAGCAUGCUUAAAUGUCACUCAGUUUAAAAUAUGGGUCUUGGAAUUUAAGAUUUUUUUUCUGUGUUUAGAACAUAAGGCACCUUAGAGGCACAGACUUUAUUAAAGUAACAAGGAAUGCUGCCAUAACUAGGUAGGGGCCCAUGCCAAUAGCUGAAAGGACUCUUUAGGGACUUUAAGUAAAUGACAAAAAGAGUCAUUAAAAAUGGCAAUAUUCACUUUGGGAAGAGAACUACCUAUAUUUUGUCACAUAGUUGACUCAUACAUGUUUAUAUAAAACAGAUUACAAAUGACAAAAUAUCGCAAUUCCUCCUCACAAGGGAAACUGAUGAAAACCUUUAGCUUGGUUGGUGAAAAAAUUUUUUCAGUUUCUGACUCUGUUUAGAUUUCCUCUCUUUUAUUACUCAAACGUUGUUGAUCCUCUUUGUUGUUACUGUUUUCUCCCUAAAUCUGGUUAUGCUAGAAUAUUUCUUCCUCUGUUGUAGGCCUUUAUUCUGUCUCUUAUAAAUUUACUCAAAUGUGUAUCUAAAACAGUUUUCAGAAUGAUUUUCCUUUCUUGGUUUGCCUGGUCCUGGAUCUAGUGAGCUCCACAUAAUGCGUUCUUCUUCCAUGUGGAUCCCCAGGGUCUUCUUGCUGCUUUGGGUCACGUGCUGC
rnacentral:lncRNA from 10 species